GGUAAGUAAAAAAAGUUAUGGUAGGAAAGCAUGGCCUAGAGAUCUUGAAUCUUGACUUUGUAACACAUGAAUAUUAUUACAAUCUUACACUCCAUUCCUACCAUCAUUACAAGGAAGCUCCCUCAUUUCCUCCUAACUUACGGCACAUACACCACCCUCACAUACUCUCAUUUUCUUUUUCAUAACAUACUUAAUCCAAGCUUCACUCAUGCAUAGAAGAUUAUCUAGGGAGUUGUAAGCCAUGGGUGCUUUGUAGGAGCUUUGGAACUUCAAGAAUCUUCCCAACUUGUUCAUCUUCUUCACUAGUUUCUACCCUAGCCAUUGUGCUAGUAGUAAGACCAUUCAACCUAUUUUUUUAUGGUUUUUGACACGUACGGACGCUCACUUCGAUAUCAUAGUACACGGAACGCAAACUUGAAACAAGUCUUGAGCCGGUGAUACAUGAUUGGAUGCAAUGAUUA
rnacentral:lncRNA from 1 species